GGCAAGAUGGCCGAGCGGUCUAAGGCGCCACGUUAAGGUAUCACCUUGAUUAACAUUCGCAUCUCUUCGAGAUAAGGAUUCCGUGGUCCGAAAGGGCGUGGGUUCGAAUCCCACUCUUGUCA